rnacentral:rRNA from 1 species
CCUACGGGUGGCUGCAGUGGGGAAUAUUCCACAAUGGGGGAAACCCUGAUGCAGCAACGCCGCGUGAGCGAUGAAGGCCUUCGGGUCGUAAAGCUCUGUCCUAAGGGAAGAAUACUGACGGUACCUUAGGAGGAAGCACCGGCGAACUACGUGCCAGCCGCUGUGGUAAUACGAAGGGGGGUAGCGUUAUCCGGAAUUACUGGGCGUAAAGGGUGCGUAGGCGGCCCUUCAAGUCAGAGCUGAAAGGGUACGGCUCAACCGUAGUAAGACUUAUAAACUGUAGUGCUUGAGUGCAGGAGAGGAGGGUGGAAUACCAAGUGUAGCGGUGAAAUUCGUAGAAAUUGGGCGGAACACCAGUAGCGAACGCGGCUCUGUGGACUAUAACUGACGCUGAGACACGAAAGCGUGGGGGGCGAACAGGAUUAGAUACCCGUGUAUUC